rnacentral:rRNA from 1 species
AGAGUUUGAUUAUGGCUCAGGAUGAACGCUAGCUACAGGCUUAACACAUGCAAGUCGAGGGGCAGCAUUGGAGUAGCAAUACUCAGAUGGCGACCGGCGCACGGGUGAGUAACACGUAUCCAACCUGCCGCUUACUCGGGGAUAGCCUCUCGAAAGAAAGAUUAAUACCCGAUGGUAUAAAGAGUUCGCAUGUUCUCUUUAUUAAAGAAUUUCGGUAAGCGAUGGGGAUGCGUUCCAUUAGAUAGUUGGCGGGGUAACGGCCCACCAAGUCUACGAUGGAUAGGGGUUCUGAGAGGAAGGUCCCCCACAUUGGAACUGAGACACGGUCCAAACUCCUACGGGAGGCAGCAGUGAGGAAUAUUGGUCAAUGGACGAGAGUCUGAACCAGCCAAAAGUAGCGUGAAGGAUGACUGCCCUAUGGGUUGUAAACUUCUUUUAUAAGGGAAUAAAGUGAGGGACGUGUCCCUUUUUGUAUGUACCUUAUGAAUAAGGAUCGGCUAACUCCGUGCCAGCCGCCGC